rnacentral:rRNA from 1 species
UACAGAGGGGGCAAGCGUUGUUCGGAAUUACUGGGCGUAAAGGGCGCGUAGGCGGCCAACUAAGUCGGACGUGAAAUCCCCGGGCUCAACCCGGGAACUGCGUCCGAUACUGGAUGGCUUGAGUACGGAAGAGGCGAGUGGAAUUCCUGGUGUAGCGGUGAAAUGCGCAGAUAUCAGGAGGAACACCGGUGGCGAAGGCGGGUCUCUGGGCCGUAACUGACGCUGAGGAGCGAAAGCAUGGGGAGCGAACAGG